GAAAGUAAGCAAGGGCAGACGGUGGAUGCCUUGGCUCUCGGAGGCGACGAAGGACGUGAUAAGCUGCGAAAAGCCCGGGGGAGGCGCAAAUAGCCCUUGAUCCCGGGAUAUCCGAAUGGGGCAACCCGGCAGGCUGAAGGCCUGUCAUCCCGUAAGGGAGGCGAACGUGGGGAACUGAAACAUCUAAGUACCCAUAGGAGGAGAAAAUAAACAAUGAUUCCGUAAGUAGUGGCGAGCGAACACGGAAGAGCCCAAACCCAUGUCGUCUAGGCGACACGGGGGUUGUAGGACCACGACGUGGCAAGAUAGAGUCAAGUGGAACGCCUUGGAAAGGGCGACCGUAGAGGGUGAUAGUCCCGUACACGACUGACGAUUGAAGCCUAGUGGUAUCCUGAGUAGCGCGGGGCACGAGAAAUCUUGCGUGAAACAGCGGGGCCCAUCCCGUAAGGCUAAAUACUCCCGAGAGACCGAUAGCGAACCAGUACCGUGAGGGAAAGGUGAAAAGAACCCCGAGCAGGGGAGUGAAAUAGACCCUGAACCCGUCUGCCUACAAGCGGUCGGAGCGUCGUAAUGACGUGACGGCGUGCCUUUUGCAUAAUGAACCUACGAGUUACCUUCCCCGGCAAGGUUAAGUUCUUGAGGAACGGAGCCGAAGCGAAAGCGAGUCUGAACAGGGCGCCAAGUCGGGGGGGGUAGACGCGAAACCGAGUGAUCUACCCUUGGCCAGGUUGAAGGUUGGGUAACACCAACUGGAGGACCGGAUGGGUAAGCGUUGAAAAGCUUUCCAAUGAGCUGAGGGUAGGGGUGAAAGGCUAAUCAAACUCGGAGAUAGCUCGUACUCCCCGAAAUGCAUUUAGGUGCAGCCUCUUUAUAGUAUAUCGUGAGGUAGAGCGACUGAUUGGAUGCGAGGGCUUCACCGCCUAUCAAGUCCAGAUAAACUCCGAAUGCGCGAUAUAUAUUUACAGGGAGUGAGGGCGCGGGUGCUAAGGUCCGUGUCCGAGAGGAGAAGAAUCCAGACCACCGGCUAAGGCCCCCAAAUGAUCGUUAAGUUGAACUAACGAGGUCGGAUCGCAGAGACAGCUAGGAUGUUGGCUUGGAAGCAGCCAUUCAUUUAAAGAGUGCGUAACAGCUCACUAGUCGAGCGAUCUGGCGUGGAUAAUAAUCGGGCAUAAACGAUCUGCCGAAGCCGUGGAUGUCGCAAGACAUGGUAGGGGAGCAUUCCAUGCCGCGUCGAAGAUGAGGGAUGACCCUUGUUGGAGCGCAUGGAAAAGCAAAUGUAGGUAUGAGUAACGAUAAGGGGGGCGAGAAACCCCCCCGCCGAAAGACCAAGGUUUCCUGAUCAACGCUAAUCGGAUCAGGGUGAGUCGGGACCUAAGGCAAAGCCGAACGGCGCCGCCGAUGGAAGAAUGGGUUAAUAUUCCCAUACUGCCUCAUGGAGUGACGUGGAGACGGAGAAGUGACAGUCCUGCCGGCUGACGGAAUAGCCGGUUGAAGGGUGUAGAUAUUGAUUCCCGUAGGCAAAUCCGCGGGGAGAGUCGAACCUGAGAGUAUACGGAGCGCUUGCGCAACGUAAUAUGGACGUAACCAUGCUCCCGAGAAAAUCCGCUAAACUUAUCCAUGCGGCACCCGUACCGUAAACGGACACACGUGGUCGGGUUGAGAAUACUGAGGCGCUCGAGUGAUUCACGGUUAAGGAACUAGGCAAAUUGACCCUGUAACUUCGGGAUAAAGGGUCCUCGUCGUAAGGCGAGGCGCAGAGAAUAGGUCCAGGCAACUGUUUAACAAAAACACAUGGCUGUGCGAAAUGGAAACAUGAGGUAUACAGCCUGACACCUGCCCGGUGCCGGAAGGUUAAGAGGAGAUGUCAUCCGCGAGGAGAAGCGUUGAAUUGAAGCCCCGGUAAACGGCGGCCGUAACUAUAACGGUCCUAAGGUAGCGAAAUUCCUUGUCGGGUAAGUUCCGACCUG
rnacentral:rRNA from 1 species